CCAAAGGCCCUCUUUAGGGCCACCAAUGCAAUACAUGUUUUUAUAU
rfam:Strongyloides papillosus strain LIN genome assembly, scaffold: SPAL_contig0000249